rnacentral:misc_RNA from 1 species
UGACAGACAUAUUUGACGGAAAUAAAAAGGGAAAAGUCAAAACGAAACGCACUGCAAUGCAAUAUUUUAUUUUUAUUGAAGUAGAAGAACCAUAGAAUGUCUGCAUCUUGAAAGAUAUUGACCCACUCAUUUAAUUAUAAAAGAACGGUGUUACUGUAGAUUGUGGAAUAAUUACGCUUUUCCAACAUGCCGCUGAACUUACAAUCAGUCCGGCAGUAUUUGAAUGAACUGAGGAAUUCUGGUGGUUUACACAAAGAUCAAGCUGAAAAGUACCGCAAUGUUCUCAUGGAAAUACUAAAAAAUCCUGAGGGAGAUUUAGCAGACUCACUCAAAGCGUUUGUAGAAGCAAUUGUGAAUGAGAAUGUGAGCCUAGUGAUCUCCCGGCAACUGCUCACAGAUGUCAGCACACAUUUAGCAUUGUUGCCAGAUCCGGUAUCACAGGAUGUCUCACACUAUGCCUUAGAUGUCAUACAACCAAGAGUCAUCUCAUUUGAAGAACAGGUAGCAAGCAUCAGACAACACUUGGCGGAUAUUUACGAACGCAACCAAAACUGGAAGGAAGCUGCAAAUGUAUUAGUCGGAAUUCCUUUAGAAACUGGACAAAAGCAGUACUCUGUUGAUUACAAACUAGAGACAUACCUAAAAAUCGCGCGCCUUUACCUGGAGGUCGAUGACCCCGUGCAGGCGGAGGCCUACGUCAACAGGGCUUCGCUGUUACAGGCCGAGACCACUAAUGAACAGCUGCAGAUUUAUUACAAAGUGUGCUACGCCCGAGUUUUAGAUUAUAGGAGAAAGUUCAUAGAAGCAGCUCAGAGAUACAAUGAGCUCUCGUACCGCAACAUCAUUCACGAAGACGAGCGCAUGACGUGCCUACGCAACGCUCUCAUCUGCACAGUGCUGGCCUCCGCAGGUCAGCAAAGAUCCAGAAUGUUGGCCACUCUGUUCAAAGACGAGCGGUGCCAGCAACUACCCGCGUAUUCAAUCCUGGAGAAGAUGUACCUGGAUCGCAUCAUUCGCCGUUCUGAGCUACACGAGUUUGAGGCUCUCAUGCAGACGCAUCAGAAGGCGACAACACCAGACGGCUCGUCCAUCCUGGACCGCGCCGUGUUCGAGCACAACCUGCUGUCGGCGAGCAAGCUGUACAACAACAUCACGUUCGAGGAGCUCGGCGCGCUGCUCGAGACGCCGCCCGCGCGCGCCGAGCGCAUCGCCGCGCACAUGAUCUCCGAGCAGCGCAUGCACGGACACAUCGACCAGAUCAGCGCCAGGGUGCACUUUGAGAGUGAGUAUACUGCUCUAGCCUCUCCUGUACAACAUCGCCGCGCACAUGAUCUCCGAGCAGCGCAUGCACGGACACAUCGACCAGAUCAGCGCCAGGGUGCACUUUGAGAGUGAGUAUACUGCUCUAGCCUCUCCUGUACAACAUCGCCGCGCACAUGAUCUCCGAGCAGCGCAUGCACGGACACAUCGACCAGAUCAGCGCCAGGGUGCACUUUGAGAGUGAGUAUACUGCUCUAGCCUCUCCUGUACAACAUCGCCGCGCACAUGAUCUCCGAGCAGCGCAUGCACGGCCACAUCGACCAGAUCAGCGCCAGGGUGCACUUUGAGAGUGAGUAUACUGCUCUAGCCUCUCCUGUACAACAUCGCCGCGCACAUGAUCUCCGAGCAGCGCAUGCACGGCCACAUCGACCAGAUCAGCGCCAGGGUGCACUUUGAGAGUGAGUAUACUGCUCUAGCCUCUCCUGUACAACAUCGCCGCGCACAUGAUCUCCGAGCAGCGCAUGCACGGACACAUCGACCAGAUCAGCGCCAGGGUGCACUUUGAGAGUGAGUAUACUGCUCUAGCCUCUCCUGUACAACAUCGCCGCGCACAUGAUCUCCGAGCAGCGCAUGCACGGACACAUCGACCAGAUCAGCGCCAGGGUGCACUUUGAGAGUGAGUAUACUGCUCUAGCCUCUCCUGUACAACAUCGCCGCGCACAUGAUCUCCGAGCAGCGCAUGCACGGACACAUCGACCAGAUCAGCGCCAGGGUGCACUUUGAGAGUGAGUAUACUGCUCUAGCCUCUCCUGUACAACAUCGCCGCGCACAUGAUCUCCGAGCAGCGCAUGCACGGACACAUCGACCAGAUCAGCGCCAGGGUGCACUUUGAGAGUGAGUAUACUGCUCUAGCCUCUCCUGUACAACAUCGCCGCGCACAUGAUCUCCGAGCAGCGCAUGCACGGACACAUCGACCAGAUCAGCGCCAGGGUGCACUUUGAGAGUGAGUAUACUGCUCUAGCCUCUCCUGUACAACAUCGCCGCGCACAUGAUCUCCGAGCAGCGCAUGCACGGACACAUCGACCAGAUCAGCGCCAGGGUGCACUUUGAGAGUGAGUAUACUGCUCUAGCCUCUCCUGUACAACAUCGCCGCGCACAUGAUCUCCGAGCAGCGCAUGCACGGCCACAUCGACCAGAUCAGCGCCAGGGUGCACUUUGAGAGUGAGUAUACUGCUCUAGCCUCUCCUGUACAACAUCGCCGCGCACAUGAUCUCCGAGCAGCGCAUGCACGGACACAUCGACCAGAUCAGCGCCAGGGUGCACUUUGAGAGUGAGUAUACUGCUCUAGCCUCUCCUGUACAACAUCGCCGCGCACAUGAUCUCCGAGCAGCGCAUGCACGGACACAUCGACCAGAUCAGCGCCAGGGUGCACUUUGAGAGUGAGUAUACUGCUCUAGCCUCUCCUGUACAACAUCGCCGCGCACAUGAUCUCCGAGCAGCGCAUGCACGGACACAUCGACCAGAUCAGCGCCAGGGUGCACUUUGAGAGUGAGUAUACUGCUCUAGCCUCUCCUGUACAACAUCGCCGCGCACAUGAUCUCCGAGCAGCGCAUGCACGGACACAUCGACCAGAUCAGCGCCAGGGUGCACUUUGAGAGUGAGUAUACUGCUCUAGCCUCUCCUGUACAACAUCGCCGCGCACAUGAUCUCCGAGCAGCGCAUGCACGGACACAUCGACCAGAUCAGCGCCAGGGUGCACUUUGAGAGUGAGUAUACUGCUCUAGCCUCUCCUGUACAACAUCGCCGCGCACAUGAUCUCCGAGCAGCGCAUGCACGGACACAUCGACCAGAUCAGCGCCAGGGUGCACUUUGAGAGUGAGUAUACUGCUCUAGCCUCUCCUGUACAACAUCGCCGCGCACAUGAUCUCCGAGCAGCGCAUGCACGGACACAUCGACCAGAUCAGCGCCAGGGUGCACUUUGAGAGUGAGUAUACUGCUCUAGCCUCUCCUGUACAACAUCGCCGCGCACAUGAUCUCCGAGCAGCGCAUGCACGGACACAUCGACCAGAUCAGCGCCAGGGUGCACUUUGAGAGUGAGUAUACUGCUCUAGCCUCUCCUGUACAACAUCGCCGCGCACAUGAUCUCCGAGCAGCGCAUGCACGGACACAUCGACCAGAUCAGCGCCAGGGUGCACUUUGAGAGUGAGUAUACUGCUCUAGCCUCUCCUGUACAACAUCGCCGCGCACAUGAUCUCCGAGCAGCGCAUGCACGGACACAUCGACCAGAUCAGCGCCAGGGUGCUUUGAGAGUGAGUAUACUGCUCUAGCCUCUCCUGUACAACAUCGCCGCGCACAUGAUCUCCGAGCAGCGCAUGCACGGACACAUCGACCAGAUCAGCGCCAGGGUGCACUUUGAGAGUGAGUAUACUGCUCUAGCCUCUCCUGUACAACAUCGCCGCGCACAUGAUCUCCGAGCAGCGCAUGCACGGACACAUCGACCAGAUCAGCGCCAGGGUGCACUUUGAGAGUGAGUAUACUGCUCUAGCCUCUCCUGUACAACAUCGCCGCGCACAUGAUCUCCGAGCAGCGCAUGCACGGACACAUCGACCAGAUCAGCGCCAGGGUGCACUUUGAGAGUGAGUAUACUGCUCUAGCCUCUCCUGUACAACAUCGCCGCGCACAUGAUCUCCGAGCAGCGCAUGCACGGACACAUCGACCAGAUCAGCGCCAGGGUGCACUUUGAGAGUGAGUAUACUGCUCUAGCCUCUCCUGUACAACAUCGCCGCGCACAUGAUCUCCGAGCAGCGCAUGCACGGACACAUCGACCAGAUCAGCGCCAGGGUGCACUUUGAGAGUGAGUAUACUGCUCUAGCCUCUCCUGUACAACAUCGCCGCGCACAUGAUCUCCGAGCAGCGCAUGCACGGACACAUCGACCAGAUCAGCGCCAGGGUGCACUUUGAGAGUGAGUAUACUGCUCUAGCCUCUCCUGUACAACAUCGCCGCGCACAUGAUCUCCGAGCAGCGCAUGCACGGACACAUCGACCAGAUCAGCGCCAGGGUGCACUUUGAGAGUGAGUAUACUGCUCUAGCCUCUCCUGUACAACAUCGCCGCGCACAUGAUCUCCGAGCAGCGCAUGCACGGACACAUCGACCAGAUCAGCGCCAGGGUGCACUUUGAGAGUGAGUAUACUGCUCUAGCCUCUCCUGUACAACAUCGCCGCGCACAUGAUCUCCGAGCAGCGCAUGCACGGACACAUCGACCAGAUCAGCGCCAGGGUGCACUUUGAGAGUGAGUAUACUGCUCUAGCCUCUCCUGUACAACAUCGCCGCGCACAUGAUCUCCGAGCAGCGCAUGCACGGACACAUCGACCAGAUCAGCGCCAGGGUGCACUUUGAGAGUGAGUAUACUGCUCUAGCCUCUCCUGUACAACAUCGCCGCGCACAUGAUCUCCGAGCAGCGCAUGCACGGACACAUCGACCAGAUCAGCGCCAGGGUGCACUUUGAGAGUGAGUAUACUGCUCUAGCCUCUCCUGUACAACAUCGCCGCGCACAUGAUCUCCGAGCAGCGCAUGCACGGACACAUCGACCAGAUCAGCGCCAGGGUGCACUUUGAGAGUGAGUAUACUGCUCUAGCCUCUCCUGUACAACAUCGCCGCGCACAUGAUCUCCGAGCAGCGCAUGCACGGACACAUCGACCAGAUCAGCGCCAGGGUGCACUUUGAGAGUGAGUAUACUGCUCUAGCCUCUCCUGUACAACAUCGCCGCGCACAUGAUCUCCGAGCAGCGCAUGCACGGACACAUCGACCAGAUCAGCGCCAGGGUGCACUUUGAGAGUGAGUAUACUGCUCUAGCCUCUCCUGUACAACAUCGCCGCGCACAUGAUCUCCGAGCAGCGCAUGCACGGACACAUCGACCAGAUCAGCGCCAGGGUGCACUUUGAGAGUGAGUAUACUGCUCUAGCCUCUCCUGUACAACAUCGCCGCGCACAUGAUCUCCGAGCAGCGCAUGCACGGACACAUCGACCAGAUCAGCGCCAGGGUGCACUUUGAGACGCGCGAGAUCCUCCCACAGUGGGACAAGCAGAUCCAGAGCCUCUGCUACCAGGUGAACAGCCUGAUCGAGAAGAUCGGCGCCGCCGAGCCAGAGUGGAUGGCCAAGAUUGUCGAGGAGGAGAUGAUACAGUGAUCGGGAGGUUGAUGUGAGGAAGGUUGUGUAGCCAUAGUAACCAGUGGUGUAACAAGCUAAUAUACUUUAAAUAUAAAAUACACU